rnacentral:rRNA from 1 species
AGCAGUCGCCGCGGGAAUACAGAGGGUGCGAGCGUUAAUCGGAUUUACUGGGCGUAAAGCGUGCGUAGGCGGCUUCUUAAGUCGGAUGUGAAAUCCCUGAGCUUAACUUAGGAAUCGCAUUCGAUACUGGGAAGCUAGAGUAUGGGAGAGGAUGGUAGAAUUCCAGGUGUAGCGGUGAAAUGCGUAGAGAUCUGGAGGAAUACCGAUGGCGAAGGCAGCCAUCUGGCCUAAUACUGACGCUGAGGUACGAAAGCAUGGGGAGCAAACAGGAUUAGAUACCCCUGUAGUCCCUGUCUCUUAUAA